rnacentral:rRNA from 1 species
UACGUAGGGUGCGAGCGUUAAUCGGAAUUACUGGGCGUAAAGCGCGCGCAGGCGGUCCCUUAAGUCUGAUGUGAAAGGCCCACCGGCUCAACCCCGGAGGGUCGACCGAUACUGGCAGACUAGAGUACAGAAGAGGCGAGUGGAAUUCCCGGUGUAGCGGUGAAAUGCGUAGAUAGUUGGGAGGAACACCAGUGGCGAAGGCGGCUCGCUGGACCGGUUCUGACGCUGAGGCGCGAAAGCGUGGGGAGCAAACGGG